rnacentral:lncRNA from 1 species
GCUUCGUUUCGAUUGGGCGCCUGGAUUGGUGAGCAUGACUUUGGUUUCCAUUCCUGUGUACACCACAACUCCUACUGCCCAGUUCGUGUUCUUGAGGACACAUCCAUGAAGAACGAUGUUGGAAGGGCCAAGUUAGACGCGUUUUUGAUCGAUCUCCAUGUUGGCUAAGAAAACGUAUAUAUUUCUGUUAGGUUUUUCACAACNCUAAGAAAACUAUAUAUUUCUGUUAGGUUUUUCACAACGAUAUCACAUGGAAUUGUUUAGUUUGUAGAAAAUUUGAUGAUUUCUCCUACUUGAAUGUCUUUCCAUUUCUUCUGUUCAUAUGAAUUGUUCAUUAGAACAGAUGAUAAACGAUUGUUUUCAAUCCCGUCAGAUCUGUGUCGUCUCCGGUCUUCAUAAGCAUCUUUCACU